rnacentral:rRNA from 1 species
GGACGAACGCUGGCGGCGUGCCUAAUACAUGCAAGUUGAGCGCUGAAGGUUGGUACUUGUACCAACUGGAUGAGCAGCGAACGGGUGAGUAACGCGUGGGGAAUCUGCCUUUGAGCGGGGGACAACAUUUGGAAACGAAUGCUAAUACCGCAUAAAAACUUUAAACACAAGUUUUAAGUUUGAAAGAUGCAAUUGCAUCACUCAAAGAUGAUCCCGCGUUGUAUUAGCUAGUUGGCGAGGUAAAGGCUCACCAAGGCGAUGAUACAUAGCCGACCUGAGAGGGUGAUCGGCCACCAUGGGAAUGAGACACGGCCCAAACUCCUACGGGGGGCAGCCGUAGGGAAACGUCGGCAAUGGACGAAAGUCUGACCGAGCAACGCCGCGUGAGGGAAGAAGGGUUUCGGAUCGUAAAAGUCUGUUGGUAGGGAAGAACGUUGGUGAGAGUGGAAAGCUCAUCAAGUGACGGUAACUACCCAGAAAGGGACGGCUAACUACGUG